UACGUAGGUGGCAAGCGUUAUCCGGAUUUAUUGGGCGUAAAGAGAACGCAGGCGGUCUUUUAAGUCUGAUGUGAAAGCCUUCGGCUUAACCGGAGUAGUGCAUUGGAAACUGGGAGACUUGAGUGCAGAAGAGGAGAGUGGAACUCCAUGUGUAGCGGUGAAAUGCGUAGAUAUAUGGAGGAACACCGGUGGCGAAAGCGGCUCUCUGGUCUGUAACUGACGCUGAGGCUCGAAAGCGUGGGUAGCGAACAGG
rnacentral:rRNA from 1 species